GCCAGUUUUACGAGUCCUGCGUCUCAAAUAUUAGGGUUUUUAUAAAGAUAACUUCUCUCUCCAACAUUUGCCGCCCCACAUCGUAUUAUCGCAAGAACUUCAGCUCCAAUCUCUUUUGAUCGUCAUGGUUACAGGUUCAUACAUCUGAAUCAACUACUCUCCUUUUCGUGAUUGCAGUUAUUUGGCUUUAAAGCUUCAUUCAUCCGUUUGAGGAUCAAUAAUCUCUCCAAUCUCCUUCGCCAGCCGAUCAUAAGUUGGGCAGCUUUUGGAUCGUGGUGAGAAGAUCGAGUUAGUAGUUGACAAGAAAGAAACCUUCAAUCUCAAUGAUGAUGAGUGCUUCUCAUGCUGCUCCAGGCGAGGUGGGAAAGCACUGCCCAAGUCCAAGUACCCGAACCAAUCAAUCGCGAAUGGAUUUGGGUUGUAGGAGAAUUGAAAAGUCGAACUUGGUUAUCAAGGAGCUACUUAAGGAAAAAGAUGAAGAAAAAGAAAGAUUAAAUGGAGUUAUUGCGGGCUUAUUGGCUGAUAAAGAAAAAGAUAAGGUGGACAAAGAUGUCAUGCUCAAUAGGAUGUCACAAAUUGAAGCUACGUUAACCGCUAUGGUUCGAAGAUAGGCUAUAAACACUUGGUUUUGAAUGUUUUGAUGUUUUUCAUAUUAGGAUAAUUUCGGUAAUUUGUUGUUUUAGUUGGCAUUUAUAUUAGAAUGUUUUAUAGUUUUAUAUAUUUUUCGGGUUUUGUAA